CAUUUCUCAACACCCUGAUCCAGAUACUCUAUAUAAGUGGAGUCCAAACUUCACCUCAACACAACCUUCCUGUCAAGUCAUUCAAAGCAGAGAAGACUCUACGCUGAAAUCACUGCAGCCAUGCUGAAGGUAGCACUUAUUCUUGGAUGCCUCCUGAGCCUCAUUGUGGCUACACCAAUGGAGCACCAGCGAGUUGCUCGCUCCGGCUCUGGAUCCAGCUCCAAUGAGGUCUCAACAACCAACUUUGCCACCCUGCUGUCCCUGCUCCUCCAGCUUAUCACCACCACCACCACCACAACCACAACUACAACUGCAGCUACAACACCAGCUGCUGCUACAUAAAACGGAGACUUGAACGUCAGCAAAUUUGUCAUGUGUUGAGAAAGUUGUCAUUGUUUUUCUCUCUCAAUUUUCAAUGUUAAUGGAAAUCAGUUUCCAGUAUCAUUGAACAUGGAUCAAAUUUGCUGCUGUCAUG